UUUGAGAUCCAUGAGGGAUCGUAGGUUUUGAUAGUAUUUUAGCUGGGCUGAACCUCAUGCAUUUACAGUAAAGUCUCUAAAUGGAGAUGCUUGUAGUCGAGUGUCAUCUGCUUGAAAGCAGGGCAGACUGCAGAUCAGCUAGAGCGUCAGUGAUAUAGCUUUUGGUAUUUUUCGCUAUGUGAUUUGUGAUGUUUACCCUCAUCACCGGGAGAAGCUGGAUGUGUACCUAGCAAUCAUUUCGGAUCUGGCUUUCUCAUAUGGCGGAUCUCUGUUCUAUGAAUAUCAUAAUUCUUUAUCGGCCAAGGCUGCUAUGUGCAUUCAGAAGUUUAACCAGUGUCUGGAUUGGUCUGUCGUUGACUUGUCCCUCAUCAGCAGACAUUUUACCGGGCAUCGGACUCUUACCUGCAGCGUUUGCGGCUCGUUUUCAUACUCCACUUUACUCUGUCCGAAAACGGCUUUACGUGUUCUCUGGAAUCCUCCUGCUCAGCCGUUUGGUUCUGCCCUUGCUUUCCUCCCUUGGGGACAGGUACCCUUUCGGUCCCGAUUUCGCCCUCCUAUUCGUCACAAUUUAAACGAAGGAGAGCGUGCGUUUCGUAAUUGUAGGUUAUUACAUGUUUGUAGCUGGUGUGGAGACAGCCGCUCCCGUUCUGUGUGCCUCCCGAUAGUCUGGUCCAAGCCUUCCAGGAAUUAAAAAUCGGCCAUCCUUGUACCCCUGUGAAUGUGUCAGCUUUGUCUCCGGCCCUGUCUUCUCACCCUAACAGUUGUUUUGUUAAUUAUCUGAUUACUGGUUUGUUUCAAGGUUUUUUGGCUGGUUUGAGGUUCCCCCCUCGUGUUUAUGUUUGUGGGAAUCUACUGUCCGCCCGUGCGGAGCCUGAGAUUGUGGAGGUUUGUAAGGGCUAUAUGAUUGAACCAUUUUCCAGGGCUCAGUUUCCCCGUUUUUCGUGUCAGCCCCUUAGGGGUGGCCACUCGGAAAUAUUCCGGAAAGAAGCGCCUUGACCAUGGCAUCUCCAUGAUUGUUUCUGCCGGUCGAGGUGUGUGGCUGGGGAAGACUGACAUAUUGGACGAUUUUAAAAUUAUGCCUUUGCUUCCCUCACAGUGGCAUCUUUUUGCCGUUAAGUGGCGCUUGAAGUAUUAUUUCUCUGUCCAUUUGCCUUUCCUUGUCCUCGUAUUUUUGAUUCUCUGUCGGAGGCCCUGUGCUGGAUUUCGUAUAAUGCCGUUUCUGCGGUCACGUCGCUUUUUUCUCACUGGGACGUUCCGCUUGCCCCUGAGAAGACGUGUGGUCCUUCCACCCGUCUGGAAUUUUUGGGCAUUAUUCUCGAUAGUUUGUUGAUGCAGGCUUCUCUGCCCGCCGAUAAGCUCGCUCGUAUCCAUGACGCCGUGUCGUCCUUUCUCUCCAGAGGACGUGUGACUAAAAGGGAUUUGCUGUCUCUUUUAGGCUAUCUGAAUUUUGCCAAGUGCAAUUAUUCCCCACUGCUGCUCUUUCAUUUCUUGUCUUCUCAAUCUCGCCCGCUUGGUUGCGGACCUCCAUGAUCCUUUAAUUAUGGAUGUCGGUUCUCUGUCUGAUUUGUGUUUCUGGUCACUCCUGUAACGGUUUCAGUUUCUUUGUGUUUGGUUCCUUGAUUUCCUGUUUUAUUUUGUAGUAUUUCCUGUUUUGUUGUUGGUUUCGAGUUUGACCUUUUCCCAUCAGUCCUGAGUGUUUCCACCUGUGUCUUGUUGCCUUGUGUGUAUUUAAGUCUUGUCUUUCCCUUCCUCCUGUGCUGGUCCAUAUUCUGCUCUUCCCCAGUUUUGAGUAUAAUGAGUGUUUCGAGUUUUGGUUUGCCCUUGUUCCUGGAACUCCUGCCUCCUCUCCUCUCUGUGCCUGGGUGCUUCAACCUUCCCCCACCGUGACACCAGGACACGCCAACUAAUUAUGAGAUGGCAGGCAACACAUGUUUUCAUUUGGUGGCAGUGCUUUAAAAGCCCUCCUCCUCCCUGUUCGGACAUGAACUCUUGUUGCCACACAUCAAGGCAUCAGGAAGUGGAACGGGAGUUGGCAGGCAGGUAAGCCAGGCUUUAGGUUCUCUGAACUGAAACAGGGAGUGGGAACUUACUAGCAGACUUGUUCACGAGCAAUCGGCCAGGCUUUGGCGCAUCUGCGGCGUGGCGGCAGUAGCCUGCAAGCGUGACGUGACUGUUCACCUAGAUCCGCCCUCUUCUCAGUGACCGGUUCCCACCCCCGCCACGACGGAACCGUUUGGAGCGAUACGCUCAGCUAACGCCACAGAGUUCUCUUGUUGCUGUGGCGUCUCACCUGCGAUAAUGCAGCUACAGUGGAAAUAAUCAACAAAGGUCGUUCUAGAUGUGCGAUGAUCAACAGUCUUAUACGGCAGUUGACAUGGUUUGGUGUUUUGAAUAAUUUUAUUCUUCGAGCUACGGUUAUCCCUGGCCAUGUAAAUAUUGUUGCUGAUGCUGUCUCUCACUUUAAAUUCCAGGAGUUCAAAACUCUAAGGCCGCAAGCCAAUCCUCACAGCCUCCCCUGCCCUGCUUUCCAGCAGAUGACUCUCGAAUAACAGGAUUUGCUGUUAUCCACUGCUGGACACAUGAGGUUUGGCCUGGCUAGAAGUACCAUUAAAUCUUAUGAUUCAUCAUGGAUAUCCUAUCGCUCUGUGCCAGUAUUCAUACGCCCCCUUUGCCAAUUAAUAUUCCACUAUUCUGCUCUUUUGUUGUACACCUAUUUGAGAACCGCCGGUAUCAAGUACAGAGCAUCUGUAACCCUGACAUGCUUUGCAGCUUUGCCCCAUCCACUGCUAUGAUGUAUAGAUUUAAAGCUCUCGCGACCAUAGGCUUCAUAACGGGGCAAGCGCAGUCAGUUCUGUUGAUGGAAGUCAGACAAAGAGCUGUCACUGCAUGCAUGAGACGCGGGCGGGUGACGAGAAGCACUAUGCGAAAGUGUAACGUGGGAACUGGCCAGGUUCCACAGAAGAUGGAUGCUGUUUGGCCUUAAUUUCAGGUCUUCCCAAGCUGACAUCGGGCCAACAUUGGACUGGGCGGUAGGACGCAUUUACACCUACACCCCCAUGUGUGGAUGUAAUGGAUCUACACUAUGAACUUUGCUUGCACUGAACUUCUUGGAACCAGAUUUAUGAACAUUUUGGAGGAUGAACGGCAGAUGUACUGCAUUGAACUGAUUGUGUUUGUUUUGGUUGUCUAUUUUCUGUUGUAAACCAAAUAUGAACAUAUAUUCAUUUUCUGCAUUUUAGUGUCGCUUGUCAUCAUUCAGCACUUCCUCUGAGACGAACUUUGGCCCUUACAACUAGCUUUUACUAGAGUCUUGUGGGAUUCUAGUUAACCGGCUACAUAAAUUGGCCACACAUCAAAUCCUGCCUAGCUGCAAUCCAGUUCUACAUGAGAUGCUGGUCUUCAUCAACGAAGCUUCUUGGACACCCUGCCAUUCGCCUUCUCCUCAACGGCCUUCUAAAGGUGCGCCCCUCUGGAAAUGAUGAAAGGUUACCUCUCACUCUACCUUUGGUGCAUAAACUAGUGCUGAUUGUGGCAGGAUGAGCCAAAUGAAGUACAGGUGUAGUCACUCAACCUGGUGUUGCUGAUGAGCACCUGGCCAGCUAUAAAAGAGUUCCUACUGAGACUGCCUCCUGUUCAGGGUUCCUGUUCCUCUGUCGGUGCAGGUAUUGUGGCCGGGGCUUGCUGCAUGCACAUUCUUCCUGUUGGCUGCUGUGGCGUCCUGUUUUUAUUUUACUGCAGUGAUUGUCGUAAUCCCUCGUCACACAGCUUAUCUGCGUAUGACAGGAAAGGGCCAAGUGGAACGGAGCGCAUCACUCCCUGCCCCUCCCUCUAGGUGCAAUCAGCGCUGAUUGGAUCUUUAGGUGGAAUUUUGCUGCUGCUGGGACAGAUUUUUGGUCCUUUUGUGGGAGUGUUUCCGUAGGUGUUCUUCACGCCCCCCCCCCC